rnacentral:sRNA from 1 species
UCGGACCACGUGACGCGGACCUCGCCGGAGUCGGUGUCGAGGCCGAGCGCGCGCCACACGGCCGGUGACGAGUCGACGACGUCGUCCUUGCAGCCGCGCCGGGAGUCGCACUCGUCCACCACCGUCGCCUCCACGGCGCGCCGCCCGCCGCCGCCGCCGCGGCGCCCGUGUUCGCUCGGCGUGAUGCGGAUCCUCCUGUGGCACCGCCGCCCGCCGGCGAACCACUCCGUCGACAGCGCGACGAUCAGCUCGCCGUCGCUGUGGUAGUGCCCGUCGCACGCCGCCGGCCCGCCGCCGUCCUCCCCCUUCUCGAACCCGUUCACCGUCAUCACCGCCGGGAACCCGCCGU